rnacentral:lncRNA from 1 species
GUAUAAUAUUAAUUUACUCAAUAUACAGGGUCUCCCAGGAAUAAGUGCAGACAUUUUUAUGAACUUCAUUAUUACACUAUAGUUUUGUGUUUUUGCCAGUGACCAUAGAGUUGUAGUGGUUUUUCUAAUGUUCUUAAUGAAACCCCUUUAAUCCACCCUAAAACUGUUGAAUUGUUUGUAAUACUCUCCCAUUCAGUAAUAAAAAACCGUAAAUUACCAGCAUACAUACUCUUAUUUACCUCUAUUGAUGAUACUGUCUGCGCGUUUGAGCCUUGUGCCCCUUCCCUGAAGACGAUGUUCCUCUGUGGCUCUGACCUUGGCGGUUUGCCCCAUAAGUUGGGCGGUAGUGGGUCAGAGCAGGGCGUUUGAAGUUUCCAGAAAAACUUGGUUUCCGGGUUACUUCAUGUUUCGGCUUCGAAAUGACUACUCGUUUCGCCAGUUUCAAUUCGGUCAUGGUUUUCUUUAUUUCAUUUGAUGAUUUCAUAUUACUGCUGAAAUUAUUUCCGAACAACAUUUCCUCAAUUGGAGAUUGUUCAACAACUUUUUUUUGUGGCAUGGUUGAGGUGAGGGCUGAUUAAAUAUCUUCUAUGAGUGGAUAAUGAAUGAUGCACAUCCACAAUCAAUCUUGAGCAAUCUAUUAGACUCUUAAGCCAAGGGUUUGUUUUAUCCGAUGGCUCGGUAUACAUCUGUUCCAUUGGAACUGCUAUAGCACUGAUAGCAUUUCCCAACUGCGUCUGUACCUUUGCCAGGAAAAGGUCUUGACGUCUGCUUCCUUCCUUUAGACAAGCUGUUACCUCCUCAUUCGUUGUGGGGCCGUUUAGUGCUUGCAGUUUUUUUAUUAUGGGGUAUGUUCUGAUAAGUUCACUACUUUCCUCUUUAGUUAUUCCAUUCUUGGUAAUGGCAUUCCAUGUAGAUGUGAUUUCAUUUCUAAUUUCUGGGACUUCAAGAGGAGUGACAUUUGGAUUGACUCCCAAAAUGUCGGCAGAAAGAGGCUCUGCACAGGGUUGUCAACAUGGUCACUCAUUCGUUAUUGUUGAGAAAAAUUUAACUUCCAAAGAAAAACUUCUUUGUCUCAACAAAGUAAUCUUAUAUUUGUGGCUAGCUGGACAAAGGUCUCUUUGUUAUUCGGCCGGCCACGGCGUUUGUUUAUAUUAGAUAAACGCUGAAACGCGCUCCCGACGCAAUGAGAAAAAAAAUUGUAAAAGCCAAUCUGAGGCCUUAUGUCGAUCUAUUAAUUAGUUUUGCGGCGAAGACAAAUUUUAAUUUUUUAAGUUAUGUUAUUAAUUUUUAAAUUAAUUGUUUACAUGCAAUAAGUAAUAUGCAUUUAUGAUAUAUGAAUCUACACUCAAAUUUCCUCUUAUUUGGUACUUACUUGAAUCUGACGAUGACGACACCAUUUCUAGCAAUUUUUGUUAUUUAUUAAACUUUUUCACUAAUUUCUCUUUGGCUGUGUUUUUUGAUUUGGUUUUGCGCUGUUUCUUAUAUCUUCCCAUCUUAAAACACGUAAUAACUCACAAAUUAAUAACUCACAAUAAAUUAAACGUCACACCACACUGCAAAUAAAAACAGAAUGAUCUGGCUGACACGGCGGAGGAUAUAGGGGCGGCGUUGCUUUCUUUAAACGUUUGCACGAACACUCCAAGCAGACAGUUCCUACAACGUGAAAAAUUGUAAUAAUGAGGAUACUAAUUUGUAAUAAACUACUUUCAGAGCCUCCCAAAGUGGAGAAGGUCAAGUACUGGCAGCUGGAUAAUCAAAGUCCGAUUGGAUCCGCAAAUAUAUGAAGAUAUAGAUGUUUAAAUAAAGAAGAAUAUAUUAGUGAUUAUUGCCAAGAAGGUGAUUACUAGUAGUUCUAGCAGUAACGAGGUUUCCAAAAGGACUGGUAAGGCUGGGAGUCAAAAAAAUGGGAGUGUUCACUUCCAGAGGGAUUAGCUAAUGCCAUUAGAAGACUCGAUAGGGUUUGGCAAAUUGGUGUCUAGUUAGUUACCAUAAUAGAAUAGAAAGGUACCUAUGCUCACCUUUGGUAGCAGUUCUUUACCAGCCAUCCGCAGUUCGCAGUCUCUGGAAUACCAGAGGGGCUACAGUUUGAUUUAUUUUAUUUUAUUAUACAUUUAUAUUUUAUAUAAUAAACUAUUUCAUAU